ensembl:miRNA
GAAAGUUUGUUCAGGUUUGUCCCCAAGAUGUCAUGGGAAAACCCAAACAAACUUUUUG